AGUCGAGGGGCAGCGGGAUUGAAGCUUGCUUCAAUUGCCGGCGACCGGCGCACGGGUGAGUAACGCGUAUCCAACCUUCCGCUUACUCGGGGAUAGCCUUUCGAAAGAAAGAUUAAUACCCGAUGGUAUCUUAAGCACGCAUGAGAUUAAGAUUAAAGAUUUAUCGGUAAGCGAUGGGGAUGCGUUCCAUUAGGCAGUUGGCGGGGUAACGGCCCACCAAACCUACGAUGGAUAGGGGUUCUGAGAGGAAGGUCCCCCACAUUGGAACUGAGACACGGUCCAAACUCCUACGGGAGGCAGCAGUGAGGAAUAUUGGUCAAUGGGCGAGAGCCUGAACCAGCCAAGUAGCGUGAAGGAUGACGGCCCUACGGGUUGUAAACUUCUUUUGUGCGGGAAUAAAGGAACCUACGUGUAGGUUUUUGCAUGUACCGUAACGAAUAAGCAUCGGCUAACUCCGUGCCAGCAGCCGCGGUAAUACGGAGGAUGCGAGCGUUAUCCGGAUUUAUUGGGUUUAAAGGGAGCG
rnacentral:rRNA from 1 species